CUACUACUUCCUCCGUCCGAAAAUACUUGUCAGUGAAAUGGAUGUAUCUAGAUGUAUUUUAGUUCUAGACACAUCCAUUUUGAUGACAAGUAAUUCCGGAUGGAGGGAGUAUUAU
rnacentral:pre_miRNA from 1 species